CAUUUCAGGAGGGCGGAGCAGCAAGCAAUCAAGUUCAAGCUUUAUGUGCAUACCCUGAUAAAGCUGGUGUGGAAUAGAGGAGACAGAAGAGCUUACUUCUCUCUAGGAGGAGGGAGAGUAUCUGAAAAAGCUCCAGAGAGGAAGGCACUCUUGAAUUGCAACUUAGGUGUUUUCCUCAUUUUCCAGUUUUUGAGGUCACCUACAGGAAUUGCUUCUCUUAGCAAGGCAUCGUCUCCUGUGCAAAGUCUUCACAGAUGCCAACUGCCCCUGGC
rnacentral:lncRNA from 1 species